rnacentral:rRNA from 1 species
AGUCGAGGGGUAUAGUAGCAAUACUAGAGACCGGCGCACGGGUGCGUAACGCGUAUGCAAUCUACCUUUCACAGAGGGAUAGCCCAGAGAAAUUUGGAUUAAUACCUCAUAGUAUAAUGAGUUGGCAUCAACCCAUUAUUAAAGUCACAACGGUGAAAGAUGAGCAUGCGUCCCAUUAGCUAGUUGGUAAGGUAACGGCUUACCAAGGCUACGAUGGGUAGGGGUCCUGAGAGGGAGAUCCCCCACACUGGUACUGAGACACGGACCAGACUCCUACGGGAGGCAGCAGUGAGGAAUAUUGGUCAAUGGGCGCAAGCCUGAACCAGCCAUGCCGCGUGCAGGAUGACGGUCCUAUGGAUUGUAAACUGCUUUUGUACGGGAAGAAACCCUCCAACGUGUUGGAGCUUGACGGUACCGUAAGAAUAAGGAUCGGCUAACUCCGUGCCAGCAGCCGCGGUAAUACGGAGGAUCCAAGCGUUAUCCGGAAUCAUUGGGUUUAAAGGGUCCGUAGGCGGUUUAGUAAGUCAGUGGUGAAAGCCCAUCGCUCAACGGUGGAACGGCCAUUGAUACUGCUAGACUUGAAUUAUUAGGAAGUAACUAGAAUAUGUAGUGUAGCGGUGAAAUGCUUAGAGAUUACAUGGAAUACCAAUUGCGAAGGCAGGUUACUACUAAUGGAUUGACGCUGAUGGACGAAAGCGUGGGUAGCG